GAGCAGGCUCACUCCUACAGGGGGGUUGUGUAUUGCCGGGAUUUUGUGCCCGACGCCAAACCCUGUAGGAGUGAGCCUGCUC
rnacentral:misc_RNA from 1 species